AGCGGUGGAUGAUGUGGAUUAAUUCGAUGCAACGCGAAAAACCUUACCUACCCUUGACAUGCCAGGAACUUUCCAGAGAUGGAUUGGUGCCCGAAAGGGAGCCUGGACACAGGUGCUGCAUGGCUGUCGUCAGCUCGUGUCGUGAGAUGUUGGGUUAAGUCCCGCAACGAGCGCAACCCUUGUCAUUAAUUGCCAUCAUUUAGUUGGGCACUUUAAUGAGACUGCCGGUGACAAACCGGAGGAAGGUGGGGAUGACGUCAAGUCCUCAUGGCCCUUAUGGGUAGGGCUUCACACGUCAUACAAUGGUCGGUACAGAGGGUUGCCAAGCCGCGAGGUGGAGCCAAUCCCAGAAAGCCGAUCGUAGUCCGGAUCGCAGUCUGCAACUCGACUGCGUGAAGUCGGAAUCGCUAGUAAUCGCGGAUCAGCAUGUCGCGGUGAAUACGUUCCCGGGUCUUGUACACACCGCCCGUCACACCAUGGGAGUGGGUUCUACCAGAAGUAGUUAGCCUAACCGUAAGGAGGGCGAUUACCACGGUAGGAUUCAUGACUGGGGUGAAGUCGUAACAAGGUAACC
rnacentral:rRNA from 1 species